GUGAUAAUGGAGGCUUCGACAGCCGGCACAAUGGCCGUUAUUGGAAGCGAGGGCCCCACUGGAAUGGAGCCACAUCUUUUCAGUUAUAUGCUCAGCACAGGUCCCGAUAAAGAAGCUUUCUUAUCCAAACCCGAAUUUGAUGUCACAUUAUUCGGACCACUCACAGACUGGUCAUUGGAGACUUCAAUGUUACUCCUAUAUCGGCUUCGCAAAACAACUCGACAUCUCCAGUACGUGAGACGCCAUCGUAAAACGAGGUCUUGUAAAGAAUUGGAAAAUAUCAUUUUAUUUAGUCAUCGAUGAUCGAACUAAUACCGCUUUUAAUUACAACACUUUGUUACAGCCGUGGUAAUUGUUCAAGUGCGAUAUGAAUUGAGUUGAGUUGUUUUAACUAUGACAUAUACAUUUUCAGAAGCAAUGCUCUAGCUAAACCUGUUCUUCAUAACUUCUAUUGAAAUGAUUCAUGGCUUGGCGACAAUUGCACUCCAACAUGUUUUUAAAGAACGGCAUGGCGGAUUGCAUCAGAUGCUCUGGCGGUGUUGCAUAUGGACACCGGGACAUAGGUUUGCUACCUUAAAAGUGAAAUAUUGUGACGACAAAC